rnacentral:lncRNA from 1 species
GGUGUUGGACCCAAUAACUAUUCGAUGAGGGAUCCGAUGAUGGCUUUGCACCUACUUAUGAACGGUAGGUUGGGUUUAACUAAGGAGCAUGGUCAAUAACUGUUAGGUGAGCCCACAUAACUUAGAGACCAAAUCACUGCAACAUACUUAGAGAAGCAUCUAGACAAAAAGUUAUCCAUGCAUUAGUGUGUGUGUUAUCAAUAAUUAUUAGG